AUUGAACGCUGGCGGCAUGCUUUACACAUGCAAGUCGAACGGUAACAGGGGGCUUGCACCGCUGACGAGUGGCGAACGGGUGAGUACUACAUCGGAAUGUACCCAGUAAUGGGGGAUAACGCAUCGAAAGGAGCGCUAAUACCGCAUACGCUCUGAGGGGGAAAGUGGGGGAUCGCAAGGCCUCACGUUAUUGGAGCGGCCGAUGGCUGAUUAGGUAGUUGGUGAGGUAAAGGCUCACCAAGGCGACGAUCAGUAGCGGGUCUUAGAGGACGACCAGCCACACUGGGGCUGAGACACGGCCCAGACUCCUACGGGAGGCAGCAGUGGGGAAUCUUGGACAAUGGGCGAAAGCCUGAUUCAGCAAUGCCGCGUGCGGGAAGAAGGCCUUCGGGUUGUAAAGCGCUUUUGUCUGGGAGCAAAUGCUGGGCUCUAAUACAGGGCGGGGAUGAGAGUACCAUAAGAAUAAGGACCGGCUAACUACGUGCCAGCCGCCGCGGUAACAC
rnacentral:rRNA from 1 species